rnacentral:rRNA from 1 species
AACGAACGCUGGCGGCAGGCUUAACACAUGCAAGUCGAACGCCCCGCAAGGGGAGUGGCAGACGGGUGAGUAACGCGUGGGAAUCUACCCUGAACUGCGGGAUAGCUCCGGGAAACUGGAAUUAAUACCGCAUGUGCCCUGAGGGGCAAAGAUUUAUCGGUUCAGGAUGAGCCCGCGUCCGAUUAGCUAGUUGGUGGGGUAAAGGCCUACCAAGGCGACGAUCGGUAGCUGGUCUAAGAGGAUGAUCAGCCACAUUGGGACUGAGACACGGCCCAAACUCCUACGGGAGGCAGCAGUGGGGAAUAUUGGACAAUGGGCGCAAGCCUGAUCCAGCCAUGCCGCGUGAGUGAUGAAGGCCCUAGGGUUGUAAAGCUCUUUCACCGGGGACGAUAAUGACGGUACCCGGAGAAGAAGCCCCGGCUAACUUCGUG